AGAAGAUUCAACCCAGACCGACAAAGAAGAGAUCUUUUCCAAGGGAAAAUUCUACCAUGCGCAAGGUGCAUGGAUGCGCCAAUAAUAUUGACCAUUGGAUAAGCAGCUAGUGGAUGUGGGUUAAUCCACACCUUUGAUUGUUGGUGACUUGUUUAACUGGUUGUUGUAGGUUAAAUAUUUAAAAACAAAUAAAAUUAAAAUGUGAAGCUUCUCUCUCCGAUUUCGCUGCUGCUCCUCUCUCUUUCAUAAGGAUCAAAUAUGGGUUCAUUCCAUGAAAUCAAUUCUAGCGCUCAAUCGUCUACUGGUAAUUUUUAUAAUCAAUUUUCUAACUUUAUUAGCAAAUUACAUCUUGGAAUUGAAAUUGAGAUUUGAGAAAUUCAUGAGUUAUGUGCUGUUAUGGAUUGUGGUGUGUAAAACAGGGAUUGAAACUUGCUCCCUCUGAUACAUGAAAUCAUGAAAUUAGAAGCUGGGUUCGAUGAAGUUGAUUGGCUUUGGAUUCCCAGACAUCUAAAUCACGGUGCCCAUGUAGCGGCAGGGAUUGAUUUGAGGACGGUGGAGCUGCAAAAGUUGAGCUGGGGUGGGGAACAUGUUGUUGGGCUUGUGUUUUCGGCUUUAGCUUGAUUCCUUCCUAGUGUUUUUUUUUUCCUUUCUAUUUUUUUCUUUUCCUUCUACACUCGUUGGUUGUUUUUCUCCCACCGCAUUUUUUAGGCUUUCUUGAUCUCAACCAAAAAUAAAAGGCGAUAUUUAUAGAUGCGAUGAAAUGCAAAGAUGGAGAAAGCUUCAAAGUAUUUUGAUAUGUGAUUUUGGAAUGCAAUUACCAAAAUAUAGUUAGCUAUAACUAUUGUUUUAUUUGGCUUGUAUAUUUUCAUGUUUACAGGACUUCCCAACCCAUUGAACAUGAAACUUCACUGCAAUCAAUGGUACCAUGCAUAUGAAGAGUCCUAAUUUGCACGACUUCUAUAUCUUCUACAUGGGAAAGGGACUUACUCUUCUUCUUGUGCUUCUUAAUUUCAAAUUGGUUUUGAUUAUGUUUUUCAGUUAGGUAUUGUUUUGAUUUUGAUUUUGGAUUUGCAGGUAUUCCAACUAGCGGCCCAUCCACCCUUCCCAGCAUCUGAUAAGGGUAAAUUUUUUUUUUUCCCUUCAAAUUUAUCUCUCUGUCUCUGUCUUUCAUUUUGGUGAAUGGUUGAGGAUGUUAUUUAUUUAUUUUAGUAAUGCAUGAGGAAUAUAUAUAUUAUGAACUGCAUGUUAAAAACUAUCAUGCUACAUUGGAAGUGGUAUUAUUUGCCUAAUCUUGGCAUAGUGCUAAGAAUAGUUAAGUUUGGAAUCACAAAAUGAGGACGUAAAGACAAACACCAGGCCAUUGUACAUUGCAUUGGAGAUAUGGUUGAAGCUGGUCCCAGCUUUUGGCUGCUUUCGUUGCACUUUUUUGUUUGAUAUUCAAAGCCUAUAAGAUUGAUGAUCGUUAUACAAUCCAACAAGUAAAAAAAGGAAAAAGAAAAGAACAAAUCUCUACCCCAAACUGGCAUUUUGCUUUCUAUUCAAGUUAAUUAUGUUGUAGGUUUGUUCUUUUUUUGUUUACAAUGAUGAAUUUCUAAUUGUUUUCAUAUUACCCCCAUUGCUUUAUGUUUCCAUUCAUUUUAUUGAUAGUUUCGUGAUUGUUUUUCAGGUUGGGGUAAAGAAUUAGGCCAAGUACAAGACUAAUAUACUAUUUUGGAGUCUAUUUAUUUGGCUACUUGAAUUUGUAAUAUUUUCAUUGUAUCUGGAGAUUGUAUUUUUUUU
rnacentral:lncRNA from 1 species